rnacentral:rRNA from 1 species
GACGAACCGUGCGAACGUUGUUCGGAAUCACUGGGCUUAAAGGGCGCGUAGGCGGGCUGCCAAGUCAGGGGUGAAAGCCCACGGCUCAACCGUGGAAGUGCCUUUGAUACUGGCGGCCUCGAGGGAAGUAGGGGCGUGCGGAACUUCCGGUGGAGCGGUGAAAUGCGUAGAUAUGUCACAGAACACCAAUUGCGAAGGCAGCUUACUAUGGUAUGAUUGACGCUGAGGCACGAAAGCGUGGGGAUCAAACAGG